UGCAAACCUCCCCUCUCCUCUGUCUUUAGACCAUCUCAGACAGAAGAGCACGAGCAUCACUUUGAGUUUAAACAAAGAAUGCCCUGAAGGGAAUUGCUCCUACUUUGCUCCUCUCCCAGCAAAUCUGAAUUCACUGUGGCAAGACUGUAUGAGCUGAGGACUCAACAGGCUUACUUCUAAUCUAUAAUUCAAGCCUCUGACUGAAGACAACUGGUGCAUCUUUCCUUCAAUUAAAAAUGCUGCACGUUGCUCGUGCCCCAGGAUCUAAAAGCACAAUUAUGAAACCAAGUGGUGAAGAGAAGCACUGUUCCAGAAGAGCUCCUGGAGGAGAAGCUCAGUGCAUCAACAAACUUCAAAAGGAGGAGCAUUAAGAUUUGCAAACAAAG